rnacentral:rRNA from 1 species
GAUAAACGCUGGCGGCGUGCAUGAGACAUGCAAGUCGAACGGACGAUCGAGGCUUGCUUCGAUCGUUAGUGGCGGACGGCUGAGUAACGCGUAGGUGACCUGCCCCGAAGUAGGGGAAGUAACUAGCCCGAAACGGGUAGGGCUAAUACCGCAUGUGGUGGUGUGUUCAAUCACACCAGUAAAGACCGCAAGGCGCUUCGGGAGGGGCCGUGCGUCCGAUUAGCUCGUUGGUGGGGUAACGGCUCACCAAGGCGACGAUCGGUAGGUGGUCUGAGAGGACGAUCACCCAGACUGGGACUGAGACACGGCCCAGACUCCUACGGGAGGCAGCAGUCGGGAAUUUUGCGCAAUGGACGAAAGU